CUCAAGAAAAGUAUUACCUAAAGCCAUAUAUUAAUUAUGAAAUUCUUUAUUCUGACCUGCUAUGAUUCUUCAACGUGGUAGUGGGGUUAGAAAGAGGGUGCCUUUCGGUUAUGACCCACUAGAUAUAUUCACGGGCACUUGCUUCCCUUUGUUGUUUAGCAAAAAGCCACAAAAUCAGAGUCUCUCUUUUAUCAAAUUUGUCACUUAGUUGUGUGGUGCUUGACGCUUGUAUGAGCCAUAUAUAUCUAAAUUUAUGGGUUCACUAAAAGCACUUCUUUGAUCUUCUUCACAUAUUUUGAUCACACGGUCGGUAUCAUUUUACACUACAAGUUUAUUGGCUGAAACAUGACAGCAAAGAAGGAAAUUGAUUGGAUGGAUCUAUUCACUCUCAAAAAAGAAGUAAAGGACCAUUUAGAUUUUUGCUAUAAAAGAAAGUUUAGAUAGACGAGAUGACAAAGUCAUGACAAACUCACACAUACAAAGUUGAGGUACCGGGGUUCGAACCCCGAUCAUGACGCCCGACCUAACAAUUUUGACAUUUUUGCCAAUUGAGCCAGGACUUAUGAGACAAAAUAUAUCUUUUUCUGAACAUCCGUUUGUUGAUGAGAAAAUAUAUUAAUAAGCAUCAUAAUUUUAUAUAAAUGUAAGUAUCCCAUUUCAUAUAUGAUUAUCUUCUUUAUGCA